UCCUUAACAACCACUAUCUGUACGAGGCCAGCCGAUGAUAUAUUGUCUUAUAAAACAUCUUUGUGGUUGGUAGAUAACUCCAAUUUAACUACAUGAUAAUCGGAUACUUCUGUGACGACAAACCCAUCUCAAGACAGUAGGGCAGAAUGGGGCGGAAAGUGGUGGUGGCUGCAAGCUGCCUGAAUCAGUGGGCCAUGGACUUUCAGGGUAACAUGGAACGUAUCGUUGACUCUAUCCAGCAGGCAAAGACGGCCGGAGCCAUGUAUAGGAGUGGCCCUGAGCUGGAGAUAACAGGCUACAGCUGUGCUGACCACCACUAUGAGAGCGACACACUCCUGCACUCCUGGGAGGUGGUGGCUGAGUUGCUCCAACAUCCAUCAUGUACAGAUAUUAUGAUUGAUGUUGGCCUCCCAGUCAUGCAUAAGAACACCACUUAUAACUGCAGACUGGUCUUCCUCAACAGGAAAAUUCUACUGAUCCGUCCAAAAUUAACUCUGUGUGACGACGGUAACUACAGGGAGACCCGGUGGUUCACUGCCUGGCGUAAGAUUCGUCAAGUGGAGGAUUACUACCUUCCAAGGAUGAUCAGUAGACUAACAGGACAGGUGACGGUCCCAUUUGGUGAUGCAGUUAUUGCCACCAGAGACACAUGUAUUGGAUAUGAAAUUUGUGAAGAACUUUGGAAUCCAGAGAGUUCUCACAUUCCGAUGUCUCUUGACGGGGUGGAGAUAAUCGUGAAUGGCUCGGGUUCGUACACGGAGAUACGCAAGGGCUACGUGUCCCGGGACCUCAUCAAAUCUGCAACGGCCAAGAGCGGAGGAUGUUACUUGUUCAGUAAUCUGAGAGGAUGUGAUGGUGAUCGAGUAUAUUUUUCUGGAGACUCGAUGAUCGGUCUUAAUGGGAAGAUCGUGGCCCGUGCAACUCCGUACAGCUUGGUGGAGGUGGAGGUGGUGACUGCAACAAUUGACUUGGAAUCCAUUCGCUGCUAUCGUUCAUUAUUUCGAAGCAGGUGCCUCCAUGCGUCUCAGAGCCAAGUUUAUCCUCGUGUUCAGGUGAACUUCGCCUUGUCCAGUGAUGAAGACAUAUUCCUGCCCUUGUGUUCACCGAUAGAAUGUAAUAGUCCUUUACCAGAGGAAGAAAUCCUUUAUGGGCCAGCUUGUUGGUUAUGGGACUACCUCCGACGGUCUGGCCAGGGGGGAUUCCUUCUUCCAUUAUCAGGAGGUGUUGACUCGUCUGCCACAGCGACUAUUGUCUAUUCCAUGUGUCAUAUGGUGGUUCAGGCUGUUGCUAAUGGUGAAGAGAAGGUGUUGGAAGACGUCCGACGCAUAGUGUCGCAAACUGACUAUGUUCCUCGAGAUCGUCGAGAACUCUGUGGCAGACUUUUCCACACUGUCUACAUGGCUACAGAAAACUCAUCAUCGGAGACAAAGGCUCGAGCAAGGCUUCUCUCUCAGCAGAUUGGAAGCUACCACAUACCAAUAACAAUUGACAGUAUGGUAUCAGCUGCCCUGGGUAUAUUCAGUGCUGCCACAGGUUUCAUCCCAAAGUUUCGAGUGCGUGGAGGAACUACAAGAGAAAAUGUUGCUCUACAGAAUGUGCAGGCACGACUUCGCAUGGUGCUAGCUUAUCUCUUUGCUCAGUUGAUGCUGUGGGUGAGGGGAAGACAAGGUGGACUACUUGUUCUGGGGUCUGCUAAUGUGGAUGAAGCAUUGCGAGGAUACAUGACUAAAUAUGACUGCAGUUCUGCUGACAUUAAUCCUAUUGGUGGGUUUUCCAAAGCUGACCUCAGGAGAUUUCUGCUUCUGGCCAAAGAAAGACUGAACCUUCCUGUUUUGGGUGACAUCAUAGGAGCUCCACCCACAGCAGAACUUGAGCCACUAAAUGAGGGAGAAUUGGUACAGACAGAUGAAGCUGAUAUGGGAAUGACAUACGAUGAAUUGUCCAUGUACGGAAAGCUGCGAAAAGUUGAAUGUUGUGGUCCUUUCUCCAUGUUUGGCAAGCUGGUCCACCUGUGGUCUGACUGCUGCACUCCAAAAGAAGUAGCAGAGAAGGUCAAGGUGUUCUUCAGGUUUUAUAGUGUCAACCGCCACAAGAUGACAGUAUUAACACCGGCCUAUCAUGCCGAGACGUAUUCCCCCGACGACCACCGCUUUGAUCACCGCCAGUUCCUCUACAACUAUCGCUGGCUCUGGCAAUUCAGGGCUAUUGAUAGAGCAGUAGAAAGACUGGAGAAUGGAAGGAGUCGAGAAGAGCAAGUCGAACGAAGUAGUUCCAUGCGCUCCAACAAAGACAGUCGGUCGUCUUCAUUCACACGGCCCUCAUCGCGCUCAUCCAAUAACUCACUCACAGGAUCUACAGGGAGUGAGUCACAUCGUCGAGGUGUGGAAGUAACAACUGGUCCAGCCAUUCAAGAUGCACACACUGUACAUGUCUGCACUACUGAGAAUGCAUGUAAUCCCAUCCAAGUGACUGUACCACAGGACAGUGAUCAACCUGAAGAUGGGAAUGUGUGUUUGACCUCCCCUCAUCGAUCAUCUGGUGAGUCUGACCGGAAACGUCGUGGGUCAGCGUCCAUCAUCGACACGAUCCCUGGACUUGUUGCACAGAAAAUAAGUCAUUGCAGGGAUUUUACUCCUGCCUCCCUUCAACAACACACUACAACAAUACAACUCUAAUGAGAUCCUAGAUAAAUUGUGAUUUAUUUAUGUACAAAUAAAUUAAAAGGAGUAAUAAUGGGAUUGUCAUGUUAAGUCAGUGGCUGUAGUUUAUGGUCUAUAGUACAGGUAACCUUUAUGUUCUUUAUCAUAAAAUCUGCUCACGCUGUACUUUUGCUAUUUAGGCAAUUGUGGUUUUAAGAAUUUCAUCGAGAGAUACAAGAACAUUUAUUUUUCUUCUUAAACAUAAAAGUCUACACACACACUGUAUUGUUAUAAAAUUCAAAAUUUCUCUUUUUUUUAUUCAUCUGGGAACCAAAAGCCAAGCUUAUAAGGAUUCCAUAUGAUGGGAAAACGAAGAUAAAACAUACCCGGUACUAAGUUAUUGUUUGUGUUCAACAGUGUGUGAGAUGUCAUUUUCCUGUCACCACACAGUAACCAGUAACCUAGUCAGAUCCGAAUGUGAUUUGUUUCUCUUCAAUCAUUACACUUUGCAUGGUCUCACAGUCACUGCCAUAUAAUAAUAGUCAUGCUGUAGUAGAACUUCUCAUGUUUCCACACCCUCAGGACUGAUUGUGUGGCAAACUUAACGAUUUUGUGAACUAAUAAUUGCCUUCUGACAUGAACCUAAAAGAGUAGGAACAGUACUACAGAAUACUCAUACAGUAUACAGUACAUGAACCCAAAGACUGUAAACACAAAUUAUCACUUAAAUAGAAUAACUUUAUGAUAUGAACCACUAACACAAAGAGCCCAAAAUUUAAACACGAGCAAAAGGUUAGAAAUAUUUAUCGAUAUACAAAGUAAUACAGUACAUGCAUUUAAAUUCAUACUCCACAUUGAAGGAAAUGAAGCACAUACACAAAGGUGUCCUGAAAGACUUGUGUGGUGGGGAAGGAGAGGGAGGAACAUGACUAUGAGAGGUAUUUAGGAAUAGAAUCAGUGGUUUUAGAGGACUCACACUCACCAUAAUGCUUUAAUGUAACCUUAAAUGAGUUAAACUAAUGCCAGAACAGAGCAGCUCAGCACUCAUAGUUGCAACGUUGUUCUUAGAAUGCCAUAACAGCUUAACAAAUGGUUCUCAUCCAUUAUUUUUUUUAAAUAUAUUUUUGACACUUUUGUCAAGUAACAUUACCAAUGUUUUGAGUUUUUAUGGUUACUUAUUUAGUUUUGUUGGAAAAAGCAAUGUACAGUUGCCUCCACAUGAGUGUACCACAGCCUGGGAGUGUGUCAGAGCUCGGGUUUGAGAUGUGGCAAUGCAUCGCCAUUGUCAGGGCUGAAUGAAUUGACAUGAAACAGUGAAGAUACCCUGUUUGCAUGGCCACACAUCAAUGUUGAAAAACACUUUUUGCAUAGAUGCUUUAUUUGUUUAUGUUAUAUACAGUAGCAUUGUUGCGUAGCCAUGGCAGAGUGACUUAAGACUGAACUACUGGGAACCGUCAAACAGGGUAAUCCACAGUUUCAAGAUCAUGACUAUGGUGCCGUGUUACCUCAUCUUGUACCUGUGCCCUCACACACACACACACACACACACACACACACACACACACACACACACACACACACACACACACACACACACACACUGCCAGGCUGUGGUAUGUUCAAGUGAAGGCAACUGUACUUGUACCACAUUUCUUAGUAAAGAUAACAGUUUGGUGAUGUUGUGGUGGAGCGUGGUGAUGAGUGAGCCUGAGAGGUUGUACUUUAAGUUGACACUGUACAGGUCAGCCUCUCUAACCCAUCAACCUCAGGACCAUAGACUUUUUUUAAACCACAGAAGGUCAAGUAAAGUCAGAUGAAAAAAUUGUUUUACUCUACUGAUACAUGAAUUAUAGUUACAGUACACAUUAAUAAAAAGUAGAACAGGUACAGUAAUGCCCCAAAUUACAAUGGCGAUGUUUCCACCAAUUUACCAUAUAAGUUGAAUUGACUUGCCUUAGGUUUUUAAUGCCCAUUCACUUAACCCCCUGGCGGACAUAUCCCAUGAUAGUUGCUGGACGGAGGGUCACGUCUUUCUGGAUACACCCCCACAACCAUUGCAAUACCUGGUAUAUUUCUUGCAGGACAAAUUUAUAUUUCCUUUGCUUUGUUUCACUAAACAUCUUUGUGGAGGUUUUUGGCAACUGCUCUGAGGCAGUGUAGGCAUCUCAGAAACAUGUUUCUCAGUACUGGAAGGACAAUGGCUGAGUCAAGAGUUAUAUCUUUUACUCAUGUGAGUUCCCCACAGAGACAGAAAUUGACUCCAUUAUUUUUGACACGGGAGACAAGGAUGACCCUCCCAAGUACAGUACAGGUAUAGUGACAUUGGAGACAUUCCUCAAGAUUUUACUUGUGAAUCUGUACAUAGAGGUAAUUGAAAUAAAUUAUUUUUAAUAUUAUUUUUGAAACACAUCUUCAGUGCUUCAUAUUAUCACCCAUAAUGUAAGUUAUAUAAUAUUUAUCCCUGUUUGGAAUCAAGAGUUUACGUUCUAUAAGACGAUGAGACUCAAAUGGUUUUACAAUUAUAUUUACCUGGCCAGUGGUCAUGACUGCAAUCACCAUCCACAAAGGGUUGAUGCUGUAAAUUGAAGAUACAUUUUUGGCCCCAAAAUUAUAUUACUAUUUUCCUAAAAAAUGUAACUUUAAUGUACAAAAUAGAGCAAAUAAUGCAAUGAUAACCACCAUCAUGAACAAACAUCUUUUCAAUACAGAGGAUUAGUGUCGAACUGUACAAGUUAAUUACAUUGAGAACAGGAGCCAGUGCCAGCUAAUGGCCACUGUCGGCAGCGGUGAAAACCAUUACUGACCCUCCCCUUCCUGUGUUAGUCUUCAAAACAUAGUUGAAGGAGGGUGAGUCCUGCAUCCCACUUUAUUCCUAAUGUAUCCCAAUAAAAGUGACUAAACUUGA